AGGGCGCACGGUGGAUGCCUUGGCACUAGGAGCCGAAGAAGGACGUGACAAACGACGAAAUGCCUCGGGGAGCUGUAAGUAAGCACUUGAUCCGGGGAUGUCCGAAUGGGGGAACCCAACAGGUUGAUGCCUGUUACCCAUUUCUGUUAAGGGAAUGAGGAGGAAGACGCAGUGAACUGAAACAUCUAAGUAGCUGCAGGAAGAGAAAGCAAAAGCGAUUGCCUUAGUAGCGGCGAGCGAAGAGGCAGGAGGGCAAACCGAAGAGUUUACUCUUCGGGGUUGUAGGACUGCAAUGUGGACUCAGAAUUUAUAGAAGAAUGACUUGGGAAAGUCAGCCAAAGAGAGUAAGAGCCUCGUAUUUUAAAUAGAUUCUGUACCUAGCAGUAUCCUGAGUACGGCGGGACACGUGAAAUCCCGUCGGAAUCUGGGAGGACCAUCUCCCAACCCUAAAUACUCCCUAGUGACCGAUAGUGAACCAGUACCGUGAGGGAAAGGUGAAAAGCACCCCGGGAGGGGAGUGAAAUAGAACCUGAAACCGUGUGCCUACAACAAGUUCGAGCCCGUUAAUGGGUGAGAGCGUGCCUUUUGUAGAAUGAACCGGCGAGUUACGUUAUGAUGCGAGGUUAAGUUGAAGAGACGGAGCCGUAGGGAAACCGAGUCUGAAUAGGGCGCUUUAGUAUCAUGAUGUAGACCCGAAACCAUGUGACCUACCCAUGAGCAGGUUGAAGGUGCGGUAAAACGCACUGGAGGACCGAACCAGGGCACGUUGAAAAGUGCUUGGAUGACUUGUGGGUAGCGGAGAAAUUCCAAACGAACUUGGAGAUAGCUGGUUCUCUCCGAAAUAGCUUUAGGGCUAGCGUCGACAUGAAGAUUCUUGGAGGUAGAGCACUGUUUGGGUGAGGGGUCCAUCCCGGAUUACCAAUCUCAGAUAAACUCCGAAUGCCAAUGAAUUAUGGUCGGCAGUCAGACUGCGAGUGCUAAGAUCCGUAGUCGAAAGGGAAACAGCCCAGACCACCAGCUAAGGUCCCAAAAUAAUUGUUAAGUGGAAAAGGAUGUGGGGUUGCACAGACAACUAGGAUGUUAGCUUAGAAGCAGCUAUUCAUUCAAAGAGUGCGUAAUAGCUCACUAGUCGAGUGACCCUGCGCCGAAAAUGUACCGGGGCUAAAACAAUUUACCGAAGCUGUGGAUACCUUUUAUAGGUAUGGUAGGAGAGCGUUCUAUGUGUGGAGAAGGUGUACCGUGAGGAGCGCUGGAACGCAUAGAAGUGAGAAUGCCGGUAUGAGUAGCGCAAGACAGGUGAGAAUCCUGUCCACCGUAAGACUAAGGUUUCCAGGGGAAGGCUCGUCCGCCCUGGGUUAGUCGGGACCUAAGGAGAGACCGAAAGGUGUAUCCGAUGGACAACAGGUUGAUAUUCCUGUACUAGAGUAUGAAGUGAUGGAGGGACGCAGUAGGCUAACUCGUGCGUACGAAUGGAUGUACGUCUAAGCAGUGAGGCGUGGUAUGAGUCAAAUGCUUAUACCUGUAACGUUGAGCUGUGAUGGGGAGCGAAGUUUAGUAGCGAGUGAGUGAUGUCACACUGCCAAGAAAAGCUUCUAGCGUUGUAUCAUACUCUACCCGUACCGCAAACCGACACAGGUAGUCGAGGCGAGUAGCCUCAGGUGAGCGAGAGAACUCUCGUUAAGGAACUCGGCAAAAUGACCCCGUAACUUCGGGAGAAGGGGUGCUGACAGAAAUGUCAGCCGCAGUGAAUAGGCCCAGGCGACUGUUUAUCAAAAACACAGGUCUCUGCAAAAUCGAAAGAUGACGUAUAGGGGCUGACGCCUGCCCGGUGCUGGAAGGUUAAGAGGAGUGCUUAGGAGUAAUCCGAAGGUAUGAAUUGAAGCCCCAGUAAACGGCGGCCGUAACUAUAACGGUCCUAAGGUAGCGAAAUUCCUUGUCGGGUAAGUUCCGACCCGCACGAAAGGCGUAAUGAUUUGGGCACUGUCUCAACGAGAGACUCGGUGAAAUUUUAGUACCUGUGAAGAUGCAGGUUACCCGCGACAGGACGGAAAGACCCCAUGGAGCUUUACUGCAGUUUGAUAUUGAGUGUCUGUGCCACAUGUACAGGAUAGGUAGGAGCCUAUGAGAUCGGGACGCCAGUUUCGAUGGAGGCGUUGUUGGGAUACUACCCUUGUGUUAUGGCCACUCUAACCCGGAUAGGUGAUCCCUAUCGGAGACAGUGUCUGACGGGCAGUUUGACUGGGGCGGUCGCCUCCUAAAAGGUAACGGAGGCGCCCAAAGGUUCC
rnacentral:rRNA from 1 species